CUCUUCUCUCAAUUUUCCACGUCACUUUUCUCAAUUUUAUGCUCAUGCUACGAUGGUUACACUUCUCAAAUUGCAGUUACUAAGUAUCCUCUUUCUCCUAUUCAUUUCACGUUACAAACUUCCUCCGAAUUCUCUUCAUCAAUUCAUUUCACGUUACAAACUUCCAGCGGUUACUACUCUCCACAUUCAUCUUCCCCAAAUUCUAACCCUAAAUCAAAUACAGUAUUUCACACAACCUUUCAUCAACCCUCAUCACAACCAUCACCACAAAUUCAUCAUUGGACCGCAACAGAUUCACAACGUGCGGAGCACCGUCAUCGGUAACAAAUCUUCAGCAGCAACGAUUGUAAUCUGAUAUACAACGACAUCAUCAGAAAAUCACGGUUGCGACAUCAGAUUCACGCGGAUCCGCCAACAAGCUUCCAUUCACACCCUGAUCGAAGCAAUUAUUGGGUUUUGUUUGAAUUUUCAGAUAACGUUUGUUUUUUGAAAUUUUCAGAUAAGGUAAAAAGGAAAAGAAAACAUUGACGGAAUUUCUCACGGUUUGUGGUGGCCUUCCUCCCGACGAUGGAGAAAUCCGGUUGCGUUGCGCGACUGCGAACAAAAUUGAAGGGCAAAGGUGCAUGGGAUACUGUCUCAAAUGGAUCCAGCAGUGGUUGCAUUUUGUGACAAGAUUGCAAGCCAGGGUGGCCCAGUUCAGAUAUUGGUUCUGCUUUAUAUGACUGGUCAUGCUUAUGAGCCUAAUGGGUGUUAUGCGUGAAUUUGCAGCUAUUGACUGGUAUUAAAAGAAGGCUUUUGUGUUAUCGAUUAUUAGCAGUCUGCGAUUGUCGACAGGAAUAAGAGGUAGAUGGAUCUGAAUAGAGAGGAUGAGAGAGCCAUAAUAGAAGCUGCAGGAGGAAGAGUCAUACAUUGGAAAGGAUACCGAGUUCUUGGUGUCUUGAGGGGUUGGUAUUGGUGGAUCAUUAGCAACUAUGGUUGUUGGACUGGCCGGUUCACUUGGAAAGGAAUCAGAACAGUUGUGAAUGGAUAAAGUACUUGAUAUGCAGCGGGCCUGCUAUACGGUGUUUUUCCAUUAUAGAGUUGCACAUCCAGUUGAUAGUGCUUUUGGUCUAUGGUUGACAUCUAUAAUUCGCGCGACCAUCUUGGCAUGAUUCAGGUUUUUCUUUGACACAGUGGUGCCCAUGACAUGGAAGGAAAUGAACUUCCAAGGUUGGUUUAUGUUUCUAGAGAGAAAAGGCCAGGUUACACCCACCACAAAAAGGCUGGUGCUGAAAAUGCACUGGCGAGGGUGUCUGCAGUUCUCAUAAUGCUCCCUACAUUCUCAGUCUUGAUUGAUUGUGAUCAUUAUGUUAACAAUAGCAAGGCUGUUUGAGGAGCGAUGUGUUUUCUGAUGGAUCCAGUAAUCGGUAAGAUCUUUGUUAUGUGCAGUUCCCCCGGAGAUUUGAUGGCAUUGAUCACAGUGAUCGAUAUGCCAAUCGCAACACGGUUUUCUUUGAUGCCAAUAUUCGUUUGUGCUAUUGUUACUUCAGUGUCUUAAAAAGUUGUGUGAAUUUCUAUGGGAAGAAACAUAUGUAGGCAGCAAGGAAUAGGAAAAAGGAAGUUAGUUGAGUGUAAAUAUUGCAAUCUUGAAUGGCAGGAAAUAAUAAGACAUCAUAGAGAUAAGGUCAACCAAGCGAUUAACCGGUACACUGUGUUAAAUCGAUACUAUGGCAGUUGCUCAAUGGACUGAACUAUCUGCACAGGUUAGUCUAUUCUUUGUGAAGUUAAAGAUGGUUCCUUUUAUUUGUUUUCUUUGUGUUUACUUAUAUUAUUUCUGAAUACGCAUGGAGAAUCAACUGCCCUAAUGCUACAAUUGGCCUUUCAAAGUCUCGGAAUAGUUUACGGAGACAUUGGUUAAUACUAUUACUAGCUUUUAUUUUCGUGAUAAUAUAAAUGUUUUUGAGCAUUUUCACUAACUAUAGUGAUUUGUUAUGUGGAACAUUUGCUUUGUAUUCUAUUGUAUGUCGUUACGCCAAAGUGGGACUUCUUCCGAAUAACCAAGUAGAGGACACACAGGUGUCUAAUUACCAGCUGGGAUUGCUGAACUGCCGUGAAAUGAGAGCUUCCAACCUUAAAACUGUGCUUCAGAAGAGUCACUUUAUGAAGAUCUUCCUCUUAUCUGAUACUUUGCUGGGAACUUCCAUGGUUAUCGGUGAACGUGUGUGGGUCUGAAUUUUGAAGACAAUCACAUAACUACUUGGCUUGGAAAUCUUCUUGCUGUGCCCGAUCUCCGUAAAGAGUGGCAUGAAAAUUUGAGCUCACAUGUUGGCUCACACUCACAGAAGAACAAGGUAUAUACUGAAAAUUAUAUGGCUAACUAUAAUUUAGAUGAAUAUAUAAUUGGAUAGUGUUUUUGUGCAGCUGUUGAAUGUUGCGCUUGAUAUGGCUAGGAGAGAAGCAGAAACUGUAAUUCAUGCUUGCAAUGACUUUUUGGCUGUUAUGAAUCACGAGAUGAGAACUCUGAUGCGUGCAAUUAUUGCACUCUCUUAAUUGUUACAGGAAACAGAUAUGACUGCCGAGCAACGUCUGAUGGUGGAAACAAUAUGAAAAGCAGCAAUUUAUUGGCUAUGAUGUACUCAAGAUCCUGUUUUGGUUUUUGUUACCAAGUUUUUGUAUUUGACAUAUUUAUGCAUUUUUCCAUAGGUGACACUAUGAUAGCGACUGAUAUGAUGUUGUGCUGGUAGCAGUUUGGGAUUGUCGUAAUCCAUGGGCUUGGCUAAGUUGUGCAUUUCUGUGACGACUCAUCUCCGCCUAAUUGACAGAUUUGUGCAUCCGAUUAGCGUUGAACAAAUACGCUCUGAUUGAAUUGCAUUCAAAGAUAUUUGGUUUUUUCUAUUAAUGUUUAGUAUCAUCUUCUUGAUUUCUGCUAUUUUACACCGUGUGGUUUGGUUUAUGUGCUACCAGAUUCUUUCUUUGCUGUCUGUCUUGGCCUGGUGCGGUAUUUGGCUUGGUGCUGGUGGUGUUUAGUUGAUGUUUACAGCUCUGCUUACUUAGUGAUAUUUUAUAUGGUUUUGGUUUGAUUCUGUUCUCGGGUGGUUGUUAGUGCUAUAUUUUGAAAAUCAAAUUCUACUUGCUGUGUAUCUGUGUAUUUGAUAGAUUUGCUGACAUCAACUAUGAAAGUGAUACACUAUUGGAUAAUUUUUUAGAGUUACAAGUUUAACACAUUCAGCCAUCAAUUUGUUUUAUAUUAACUUGAUGAUCAAGUAUGUAAAAUAUUGGAUGUUUAAAUAGUUUUUGAAUCAUAUGAAGCUCUGCAGCUUUGAUCUACUUAAUGAGAACUUUAAAUUCAAAUUUUGCUUUGUUUCAGCCCUUUGUUCGUUACAUGGAAGAAAGUGGUAAAUGAUCCAAUAGAUCAAAGUAUGCUUGCAAAAAACAUAUCAGUGUUCGGUGAGUAAGUGGUUUAUUAAUAUCUAACACAUGAUAAUAUCUAAUUACUUCUCUUAACACCAAAGAUUGAACAAGUCUGGUGCAGAUCUGUCUUGGAUAAAGU